rnacentral:rRNA from 1 species
GGACGGGGCCAUGGAAGUCGGAAUCCGCUAAGGAGUGUGUAACAACUCACCUGCCGAAUGAACUAGCCCUGAAAAUGGAUGACGCUUAAGCGGAUAGCCGACACCCCGCCGUUUGGGUAAGAAUUGACCUGAAUGAGUAGGAGGGCGUGGCGGUCUUGUGAGGAAGGUUGAGACGCAAGUCUGACUGAAACGGCCGCUAGUGCAGAUCUUGGUGGUAGUAGCAAAUAUUCAAGCGAGAUCCUUGAAGGGCGAAGCGGGGAAGGGUUCCACGCGAACAUUGAUUGGGCGUGGGUGAGUCGUUCCUAAGCCGGGUGGUAAUCGUUCUUCGAAGCGGCGAAAGGGAAGCGGGUUAAAAUUCCCGCACACGGAUGUGGAGGCGGCAACGCAAUUUGAGGUGAAGACAUCAGCGGUGGCGCUAGGCAGAGUUUUCUUUUCUGUUUGACCUGUGAGAUGCACUGUGUGGAAUCCGAUUAUCGGGAGAAACACGUGCCAAAGGGCAGAGCGUCGGGGCGUCCCCGGCGUCUAGCACGCCACCGAUGGUCCUUGAAAAUUCACCUGCAAUAUAAUUUCACGCCGUGGCGUACCGAUAACCGCAUCAGGUCCCCAAGGUGAACAGCCUCUGCUCAAUAUGAACAAUGCAGGUAAGGGAAGUCGGCAAAAUAGACCCGUAACUUUGGGAAAAGGGUUGGCUCUAGUGGAGUGAAGGAUUUUAAAAUGGAUUGCAGGGUCCUGGAUGAUGGCAGGCUGGACUCGGCUAACCUGGCAACGGGUUUGGCUUGGUCUGGCUGGCUUUUGUUUGGGGCUCUGGGGUUCGCCUUCAGCAUGCUCCAGACUAGAACUGCAACGGGCAAAGGGAAUCCGACUGUUUAAUUAAAACAAAGCAUUGCGAUGGCCGAGGUCGGUGUAGACGCAAUGUGAUUUCUGCCAAGUGCUCUGAUUGCAACGGGCCAAGGGAAUCCGACUGUUUAAUUAAAACAAAGCAUUGCGAUGGCCGAGGUCGGUGUAGACGCAAUGUGAUUUCUGCUCAGUGCUCUGAAUGUCAAAGUGAAGAGAUUCAAACAAGCGCGGGUAAACAGCGGGAGUAACUAUGACUCUCUUAAGGUAGCCAAAUGCCUCGUCAUCUAAUUAGUGACGCGCAUGAAUGGAUUAACGAGAUUCCUACUGUCCCUAUCUGCUUCUAGCGAAACCACAGCCGAGGGAACGGGCUCGGCGAAACCGGCGGGGAAAGAAGACCCUGUUGAGCUUGACUCUAUUCUAAUUUUGUGACGCAAGUUAGGAGGUGUAGCAUAGGUGGGAGCUUUCGGGCGCCAAUGAAAUACCACUACUCUUAAUCUUGUUUUACUUAUGGCGUGAGACUGCACGAUCUUUAUAGAUCUUUUUUGGCAUCAACUCGGAUUCUGGCGGGGGCUUGCUUUCGUCACCGAGGAGCAGCGCGCCUGACACAUUUAGGAGGGGAGUUUGGCUGGGGCGGCACAUCUUCUACAAGACAACGAAGGUGUCCAAAGAUGAGCUCAGUGAGAACAGAAAUCUCACGUAGCGCAAAAGGGUAAAAGCUUGUUUGAUUUUGAUUUUCAGUGUGAGUUGAAAACACGAAAGUGUGGCCUAUCGAUCCUUUCACGAUUCGAGGUUUGAAGCGAGA